rnacentral:rRNA from 1 species
CCUACGGGGGGCAGCAGUGAGGAAUAUUGGUCAAUGGACGAGAGUCUGAACCAGCCAAGUAGCGUGAAGGAUGACUGCCCUAUGGGUUGUAAACUUCUUUUAUAUGGGAAUAAAAUGUUCCACGUGUGGGAUUUUGUAUGUACCAUAUGAAUGAGGAACGGCUAACUCCGUGCCAGCAGCCGCGGUAAUACGGAGGAUCCGAGCGUUAUCCGGAUUUAUUGGGUUUAAAGGGAGCGUAGGUGGAUUGUUAAGUCAGUUGUGAAAGUUUGCGGCUCAACCGUAAAAUUGCAGUUGAAACUGGCAGUCUUGAGUACAGUAGAGGUGGGCGGAAUUCGUGGUGUAGCGGUGAAAUGCUUAGAUAUCACGAAGAACUCCGAUUGCGAAGGCAGUUCACUGGACUGCAACUGACACUGAGGCUCGAAAGUGUGGGUAUCAAACAGGAUUAGAUACCCGUGUAGUC